UUUCGGUUAAUAUGAUUUUUGGUUAAUACUGGUUCUUAAGGUUUUGUACUAAAACUUGUUUCGGUUUCGGUAAUAGCCAUCCAUUAUCCGUUCAGUUUCGGUAAUAGCCAAACUGAUGAGAAAUUUUAAGCAACACAUAACAAAAUAUUAUACACCUUGCUUUAAGACCGACCAAAAUAAUAAAAAAUUAAAAUUGUUUUCAUUUCUUCUUAAUAUGUUCUCUCUUGAGGAGAAUCAAAUAUCCAAGCAUUCAUGAUCGCCCGAAAAAAAAUGCCCAAACGUGCAUCGCGUAAUUGAUUCUACUACUUAGCACUGCACUGCUGCGCUGGUACC
rnacentral:lncRNA from 1 species